AGCUUUGCGCAGUGGCAGUAUCGUAGCCAAUGAGGUUUAUCCGAGGCGCGAUUAUUGCUAAUAAGUGAAGAAUACAACAUAGAAAGGCAUAGAAAGGCAUGCUCCGGUGUCUUUAAUCAUUCAUCACAAAGAUUAGU